rnacentral:tRNA from 1 species
UGUAUGGCUGAGCGGUGAUGACUGCACACUUGGUACCCCAAAGGAUGCAGGUUUGAGUCCUUGC